UCUUCUUCUUCCUCUUCCUCAUCUGUGGAGGCUGAAGAUUGUUUGAUAGGUAGGAACAGAUCCAAGACGGGUCCACAUUCUCCGGUGGUCUGCUCCGAGCACUCUGGUUGUCCGUACAAGGUAUCUGUCGUAGUCCCUGAUAUCUCCUUUUUAUAUGCCUCGAUCGCUAAAGUUCCAAAACAAUAAAUAAUUUGAAUCUUUAGAUCUAACACCAAUCCACAUAUUUACACACGACUUCGUCUUAAUAUCUAAUACAUACUUAUUGUAGAUGUCAAUAUACAUAAAUCGGAAUUUUCUGUUAGAAUUUUGAAUUUGCAUCAGAUCGAGAUAUUGCUACCAGUUACAUCCCAAAAUACGUUAUAUUAUAUAUACAAACGAAGAUGCAUAUGUAUAUGUAUAGAAUUAUACCUUGAGUGACAAGCUCUAAGCAAAGAGGAAGCUCGCGUUGGAAGACAUUGAUCUUGCGGCGUUCUUCUUCGAGAGCUUCGAUGUACUCACAACAUUUUUCACGUUUCUCGUUAUAAUUCUUCAUAUUGCUUAAGCUCUUAAUCAUGGUGAUUUUACAGAUUAAUCCACCUUUUUAUAGCUGUGCAGUACUCUUUAAACAAAAGGGUGGGAUUGUGUCUUUUUAUAAAGAUAGCAAAUAUAUGGCUCUAUAGGGUUUCUCAAGGAUCAUUAUCUUGAAAGAGAAGUCGAGUCGUUGCAUUGCAAGUCGAAUCUUAGCUUUUGUUAAUAAAUUAUGUAUAUACCUUGAUCCCCCAAUUUCAUAGUAUAAUUAUAUACAAUUCACAAAUAAUAAUAUGAAGGAUUUGUCUUGUUGUAGUAGUGUGGAUAUGGAGUAGUGAAUAUUCGCCGUUAUGAUUGCAAGUUUUGUUUUUGUAGAAUUGUUUAAAGAUCAUUUGGGUAUAUCCAAGCAAGUGUGUAUUCUAUAUCUAGUAAAAAUGUCUUUGUAGUAGGUGAUUGGUUUGUUAUGUUAGGAACUUCAUAUAUAUAUAUAUGGAGUAUUAUUUAUAUAUUUUACUAACGGAUUUUAAUUGGAACCAAUGAAUUUUCAGAUGGUAUUAGACUAUCUGAUUUGAUAUAAAUAUGUUUUUCUAUACGGAUAUUGAUGUAUGUUUCAGUAGUGAUAUUUGGUUCGAUCCAAACCGAAUAAAUGUUAUUUAACAUAUAUAUUACUAUAAUGUAUAUAUUCUCGUAUAUUAUUUUCACAUAUAAACUCUAAUCUUUUGUAAUGUACAUAUUCUCGUAUAUUAUUUUCACAUACAAACUCUAAUCAGUUUUAGUUUGAUUUUUAGAUAAAUAUUAUGUCGUUUCUAAAUUCAAUACCUGAGCAAGAAAAUUGAAAUGCAAAUCCUAUAUCAGCCGGCAACCCCCACACCAAGUAACGUGCAUGAGCUAUUUUUUUAUAAGAACUAAUUUCAUCCAUACAAAGUCUAUAUAAAACGUCGAAAAUAUUUUUGUAGUAUCCCAAAAUGAAAAGCCAAAUGUCUCUUCGUGGAUGGCCGAAACAUGGCAGAAGAAAAAGCCGUACAUGAUAAACCUCAGUAUAUUUGUAAGAGAUAAAAAUUAAAAUGUCAAUAGGACC
rnacentral:lncRNA from 1 species